rnacentral:rRNA from 1 species
CGUGAAAUUGUUGAAAGGGAAGCGUUUAUGACCAGACUUGGGCUUGGUUAAUCAUCUGGGGUUCUCCCCAGUGCACUUUUCCAGUCCAGGCCAGCAUCAGUUUUCCCCGGGGGAUAAAGGCGGCGGGAAUGUGGCUCUCUUCGGGGAGUGUUAUAGCCCACCGUGUAAUACCCUGGGGGGGACUGAGGUUCGCGCAUCUGCAAGGAUGCUGGCGUAAUGGUCAUCAACGACCCGUCUUGAAACACGGUCCC